GGUUUCGUGGUGUAGUUGGUUAUUAUGUCAGCCUGAUGCACUGGCGGUCUCCGGUUCGCCCCCGGCCAAAAUCA
rnacentral:tRNA from 2 species